AUGAAGGCUGGAGAACCGGAAAUUCAUAGCAUAGUCUCAGCGGAAUUUCUGCUUCCGGCCCUUAUGGAGCAAUGGCCUAUGCUCAUGAAACGGGUAAUGAAACUUGGGCUUCAGAAAACGGCGCUGGAACGUCUGAAACUAAUUACGCCAUGUCCGACUCCUUCAAUAUGGAGAAGGAGGAGCAGUUGAACCUGUCAUAUUAGAAGAUACUGAUGGUGGUGAUAGACCUUUUUCUCGCUUUUUCUUUUCCUCGAUGCGGCCGGCGUUACAAACGGAAGAACAACGCCGUUUUUCACCUUCGUUACGAAUGCGGUGUAGUCCUUUCCUUACAUGAUCUGCUCUUGCAUGCUCUCACAGCGUCGCUACAUUCAGAAACACAUCAGACGCAAGCAUCCAGACUACAUCCAAGAUUACUGAGAAUACACAGAACAACAAAGAGCAUGAACAUGUGGCGAUGACGUUGACUAAAUUUGGUUUCAUUUAGAGAAUUCUUGUGUUUAAUUUUUCAUCUCAGAUUCUUCCACAGACACAAAAUUCUUGCGCGCAUUGCCGUUUUAGUUAUCCAUUAAUGUUGUCACGUCACGUGUUACAACCUCAGCGCCAAUUUCUGUCACUAACUGAUCCGCCUUCAAAGAAAAGAAUCAAAACGCUGUGCGGUUUGUCCAAGGGUAAUCAAGUCCAAAAACUUUGUUUCUGAAUUCGGAAAUCGCGUGUUGUAUUUUUCAUUAUUGUACCUUUUUCUGUGCGUAACGCCGAGAGAUCUGAAAUUUUGUGACUGUUCCAAAUGAAACACAUUGAAUUGUUA